ACGGAGGGUGCAAGCGUUAAUCGGAAUUACUGGGCGUAAAGCGCACGCAGGCGGAUGGAUAAGUUACAUGAGAAAACCGCGGGCUCAACCUGGGAAUAUCAUUUAAAACUUUCCAGCUAGAGUCUUGUAGAGGGGGGUAGAAUUCCAGGUGUAGCGGUGAAAUGCGUAGAGAUCUGGAGGAAUGCCGGUUGCGAAGGCGGCCCCCUGGACAAAGACUGACGCUCAGGUGCGAAAGCGUGGGGAGCAAACAG
rnacentral:rRNA from 1 species